GGGUUGUGAGGUUAAGCGACUAAGCGUACACGGUGGAUGCCCUGGCAGUCAGAGGCGAUGAAGGACGUGCUAAUCUGCGAUAAGCGUCGGUAAGGUGAUAUGAACCGUUAUAACCGGCGAUUUCCGAAUGGGGAAACCCAGUGUGAUUCGUCACACUAUCAUUAACUGAAUCCAUAGGUUAAUGAGGCGAACCGGGGGAACUGAAACAUCUAAGUACCCCGAGGAAAAGAAAUCAACCGAGAUUCCCCCAGUAGCGGCGAGCGAACGGGGAGCAGCCCAGAGCCUGAAUCAGUGUGUGUGUUAGUGGAAGCGUCUGGAAAGGCGCGCGAUACAGGGUGACAGCCCCGUACACAAAAAUGCACAUGCUGUGAGCUCGAUGAGUAGGGCGGGACACGUGGUAUCCUGUCUGAAUAUGGGGGGACCAUCCUCCAAGGCUAAAUACUCCUGACUGACCGAUAGUGAACCAGUACCGUGAGGGAAAGGCGAAAAGAACCCCGGCGAGGGGAGUGAAAAAGAACCUGAAACCGUGUACGUACAAGCAGUGGGAGCACGCUUAGGCGUGUGACUGCGUACCUUUUGUAUAAUGGGUCAGCGACUUAUAUUCUGUAGCAAGGUUAACCGAAUAGGGGAGCCGAAGGGAAACCGAGUCUUAACUGGGCGUUAAGUUGCAGGGUAUAGACCCGAAACCCGGUGAUCUAGCCAUGGGCAGGUUGAAGGUUGGGUAACACUAACUGGAGGACCGAACCGACUAAUGUUGAAAAAUUAGCGGAUGACUUGUGGCUGGGGGUGAAAGGCCAAUCAAACCGGGAGAUAGCUGGUUCUCCCCGAAAGCUAUUUAGGUAGCGCCUCGUGAAUUCAUCUCCGGGGGUAGAGCACUGUUUCGGCAAGGGGGUCAUCCCGACUUACCAACCCGAUGCAAACUGCGAAUACCGGAGAAUGUUAUCACGGGAGACACACGGCGGGUGCUAACGUCCGUCGUGAAGAGGGAAACAACCCAGACCGCCAGCUAAGGUCCCAAAGUCAUGGUUAAGUGGGAAACGAUGUGGGAAGGCCCAGACAGCCAGGAUGUUGGCUUAGAAGCAGCCAUCAUUUAAAGAAAGCGUAAUAGCUCACUGGUCGAGUCGGCCUGCGCGGAAGAUGUAACGGGGCUAAACCAUGCACCGAAGCUGCGGCAGCGACGCUGAUGCGUUGUUGGGUAGGGGAGCGUUCUGUAAGCCUGCGAAGGUGUGCUGUGAGGCAUGCUGGAGGUAUCAGAAGUGCGAAUGCUGACAUAAGUAACGAUAAAGCGGGUGAAAAGCCCGCUCGCCGGAAGACCAAGGGUUCCUGUCCAACGUUAAUCGGGGCAGGGUGAGUCGACCCCUAAGGCGAGGCCGAAAGGCGUAGUCGAUGGGAAACAGGUUAAUAUUCCUGUACUUGGUGUUACUGCGAAGGGGGGACGGAGAAGGCUAUGUUGGCCGGGCGACGGUUGUCCCGGUUUAAGCGUGUAGGCUGGUUUUCCAGGCAAAUCCGGAAAAUCAAGGCUGAGGCGUGAUGACGAGGCACUACGGUGCUGAAGCAACAAAUGCCCUGCUUCCAGGAAAAGCCUCUAAGCAUCAGGUAACAUCAAAUCGUACCCCAAACCGACACAGGUGGUCAGGUAGAGAAUACCAAGGCGCUUGAGAGAACUCGGGUGAAGGAACUAGGCAAAAUGGUGCCGUAACUUCGGGAGAAGGCACGCUGAUAUGUAGGUGAAGCGACUUGCUCGUGGAGCUGAAAUCAGUCGAAGAUACCAGCUGGCUGCAACUGUUUAUUAAAAACACAGCACUGUGCAAACACGAAAGUGGACGUAUACGGUGUGACGCCUGCCCGGUGCCGGAAGGUUAAUUGAUGGGGUCAGCGCAAGCGAAGCUCUUGAUCGAAGCCCCGGUAAACGGCGGCCGUAACUAUAACGGUCCUAAGGUAGCGAAAUUCCUUGUCGGGUAAGUUCCGACCUGCACGAAUGGCGUAAUGAUGGCCAGGCUGUCUCCACCCGAGACUCAGUGAAAUUGAACUCGCUGUGAAGAUGCAGUGUACCCGCGGCAAGACGGAAAGACCCCGUGAACCUUUACUAUAGCUUGACACUGAACAUUGAGCCUUGAUGUGUAGGAUAGGUGGGAGGCUUUGAAGUGUGGACGCCAGUCUGCAUGGAGCCGACCUUGAAAUACCACCCUUUAAUGUUUGAUGUUCUAACGUUGACCCGUGAUCCGGGUUGCGGACAGUGUCUGGUGGGUAGUUUGACUGGGGCGGUCUCCUCCUAAAGAGUAACGGAGGAGCACGAAGGUUGGCUAAUCCUGGUCGGACAUCAGGAGGUUAGUGCAAUGGCAUAAGCCAGCUUGACUGCGAGCGUGACGGCGCGAGCAGGUGCGAAAGCAGGUCAUAGUGAUCCGGUGGUUCUGAAUGGAAGGGCCAUCGCUCAACGGAUAAAAGGUACUCCGGGGAUAACAGGCUGAUACCGCCCAAGAGUUCAUAUCGACGGCGGUGUUUGGCACCUCGAUGUCGGCUCAUCACAUCCUGGGGCUGAAGUAGGUCCCAAGGGUAUGGCUGUUCGCCAUUUAAAGUGGUACGCGAGCUGGGUUUAGAACGUCGUGAGACAGUUCGGUCCCUAUCUGCCGUGGGCGCUGGAGAACUGAGGGGGGCUGCUCCUAGUACGAGAGGACCGGAGUGGACGCAUCACUGGUGUUCGGGUUGUCAUGCCAAUGGCACUGCCCGGUAGCUAAAUGCGGAAGAGAUAAGUGCUGAAAGCAUCUAAGCACGAAACUUGCCCCGAGAUGAGUUCUCCCUGACUCCUUGAGAGUCCUGAAGGAACGUUGAAGACGACGACGUUGAUAGGCCGGGUGUGUAAGCGCAGCGAUGCGUUGAGCUAACCGGUACUAAUGAACCGUGAGGCUUAACCUUACAACGCCGAAGCUGUU
rnacentral:rRNA from 1 species